GUUCCAGCAGCCGCGGUAAGACGAACCGUGCGAACGUUGUUCGGAAUCACUGGGCUUAAAGGGCGCGUAGGCGGGCCGACAAGUCCGGGGUGAAAGCCCCCAGCUUAACUGGGGAAGCGCCUUGGAUACUGCCGGUCUGGAGGGAGGUAGGGGCGUGCGGAACUUCCGGUGGAGCGGUGAAAUGCGUAGAUAUCGGAAGGAACACCGGUGGCGAAAGCGGCGCGCUGGACCUCUUCUGACGCUGAGGCGCGAAAGCCAGGGGAGCAAACGGGAUUAGAUACCCGUGUAGUCC
rnacentral:rRNA from 1 species